AUGAACGCUGGCGGCGUGCCUAAUACCUGCAAGUCGAGCGAACAGACGAGGAGCUUGCUCCUCUGACGUUAGCGGCGGACGGGUGAGUAACACGUGGAUAACCUACCUAUAAGACUGGGAUAACUUCGGGAAACCGGAGCUAAUACCGGAUAAUCUAUUAAACCGCAUGGUUCAAUAGUGAAAGACGGUUUUGCUGUCACUUAUAGAUGGAUCCGCGCCGCAUUAGCUAGUUGGUAAGGUAACGGCUUACCAAGGCGACGAUGCGUAGCCGACCUGAGAGGGUGAUCGGCCACACUGGAACUGAGACACGGUCCAGACUCCUACGGGAGGCAGCAGUAGGGAAUCUUCCGCAAUGGGCGAAAGCCUGACGGAGCAACGCCGCGUGAGUGAUGAAGGUCUUCGGAUCGUAAAACUCUGUUAUUAGGGAAGAACAAAUGUGUAAGUAACUAUGCACGUCUUGACGGUACCUAAUCAGAAAGCCACGGCUAACUACGUG
rnacentral:rRNA from 1 species